CAGCCGCCGCGGUAAUACGUAGGUGGCAAGCGUUGUCCGGAAUUAUUGGGCGUAAAGGGCUCGCAGGCGGUUUCUUAAGUCUGAUGUGAAAGCCCCCGGCUCAACCGGGGAGGGUCAUUGGAAACUGGGAAACUUGAGUGCAGAAGAGGAGAGUGGAAUUCCACGUGUAGCGGUGAAAUGCGUAGAGAUGUGGAGGAACACCAGUGGCGAAGGCGACUCUCUGGUCUGUAACUGACGCUGAGGAGCGAAAGCGUGGGGAGCGAACAGGAUUAGAUACCCGGGUAGUCCCUGUCUCUUAUAC
rnacentral:rRNA from 1 species